GAUGAACGCUGGCGGCGUGCCUAAUACAUGCAAGUCGAGCGAACAGACGAGGAGCUUGCUCCUCUGACGUUAGCGGCGGACGGGUGAGUAACACGUGGAUAACCUACCUAUAGGACUGGGAUAACUUCGGGAAACCGGAGCUAAUACCGGAUAAUUUAUUGAACCGCAUGGUUCAAUAGUGAAAGAGGGUUUUGCUGUCACUUAUAGAUGGAUCCGCGCCGCAUUAGCUAGUUGGUAAGGUAACGGCUUACCAAGGCAACGAUGCGUAGCCGACCUGAGAGGGUGAUCGGCCACACUGGAACUGAGACACGGUCCAGACUCCUACGGGAGGCAGCAGUAGGGAAUCUUCCGCAAUGGGCGAAAGCUUGACGGAGCAACGCCGCGUGAGUGAUGAAGGUCUUCGGAUCGUAAAACUCUGUUAUUAGGGAAGAACAAAUGUGUAAGUAACUAUGCACGUCUUGACGGUACCUAAUCAGAAAGCCACGGCUAACUACGUG
rnacentral:rRNA from 1 species